rnacentral:rRNA from 14 species
AGUGACAGUUUUUCAAAAACUUUUUCUUUUGUUCACUAAAAUUAUCUUCCUAAAAGCAUUUGACUGACCAGUGUCGGUUAAGGUAACUUAUUUGCUGCUCAAGUUAUGUCCUAUAUCCAGACAAACGUCAGCCGAAUCUAUGACGGUUCUAAGGUAGCUUAAUUCCUUGUCGGUUAGUUUCCGACCUGCAUCAAAGUUUGAACAAUUUACCUUAUGUCACACUUUAUUAUUGUGGAAUUUGUCUCUGUUGUCAGGAUCCAGCAGUGUAGUCAAAAGACAAAAAGACCCUAUGAACCCUUUUAGUAUCA